GCCUGAUGCAGCAACGCCGCGUGAGGGACGACGGCCUUCGGGUUGUAAACCUCUUUUAGCAAGGAAGAAGCGAAAGUGACGGUACUUGCAGAAAAAGCACCGGCUAACUACGUGCCAGCAGCCGCGGUAAUACGUAGGGUGCAAGCGUUAUCCGGAAUUAUUGGGCGUAAAGAGCUCGUAGGCGGUUUGUCGCGUCUGCUGUGAAAUCUGGGGGCUCAACCCCCAGCCUGCAGUGGGUACGGGCAGACUAGAGUGCGGUAGGGGAGAUUGGAAUUCCUGGUGUAGCGGUGGAAUGCGCAGAUAUCAGGAGGAACACCGAUGGCGAAGGCAGAUCUCUGGGCCGUAACUGACGCUGAGGAGCGAAAGGGUGGGGAGCAAACAGGCUUAGAUACCCUGGUAGUCCACCCCGUAAACGUUGGGAACUAGUUGUGGGGUCCAUUCCACGGAUUCCGUGACGCAGCUAACGCAUUAAGUUCCCCGCCUGGGGAGUACGGCCGCAAGGCUAAAACUCAAAGGAAUUGACGGGGACCCGCACAAGCGGCGGAGCAUGCGGAUUAAUUCGAUGCAACGCGAAGAACCUUACCAAGGCUUGACAUAUACGAGAACGGGCUAGAAAUAGUCAACUCUUUGGACACUC
rnacentral:rRNA from 1 species